CAAGUCGAGCGGGAAAAUUCCCUUCGGGGAGUGAGUACAGCGGCGAACGGGUGAGUAACACGUAGGUAACCUACCCUGGGGACUGGGAUAACCUGCCGAAAGGCGGGCUAAUACUAGAUAAGACCACGAGAGCCACGGCUCUUGGGGUAAAAGGUGGCCUCUACUUGUAAGCUACCACUCCGGGAUGGGCCUGCGCGCCAUUAGCUAGUUGGUGAGGUAACGGCUCACCAAGGCUGAGAUGGCUAGCUGGUCUGAGAGGAUGGCCAGCCACACUGGGACUGAGACACGGCCCAGACUCCUACGGGAGGCAGCAGUGGGGAAUAUUGCGCAAUGGGCGAAAGCCUGACGCAGCGACGCCGCGUGGGUGAUGAAGGCCUUCGGGUCGUAAAGCCCUGUCAAGAGGGACGAAUCCUCGUCGACCUAACACGUCGGCGACCUGACGGUACCUCUGAAGGAAGCACCGGCUAACUCCGUGCCAGCAGCCGCGGUAAUACGGAGGGUGCGAGCGUUGUUCGGAAUUACUGGGCGUAAAGCGCGUGUAGGCGGCCUUCUAAGUCUGGUGUGAACGCCCGGGGCUCACCCCCGGAAGUGCAUUGGAUACUGGGAGGCUGGAGUACCGGAGAGGAGGGUGGAAUUCCUGGUGUAGCGGUGAAAUGCGUAGAUAUCAGGAGGAACACCGGUGGCGAAGGCGGCCCUCUGGACGGAUACUGACGCUGAGACGCGAAAGCGUGGGGAGCAAACAGGAUUAGAUACCCUGGUAGUCCACGCCGUAAACGAUGGGCACUAGGUGUUCGGGGUAUUGACCCCCUGAGUGC
rnacentral:rRNA from 1 species